rnacentral:rRNA from 1 species
CACACCGCCCGUCACACCAUGGGAGCGGGUUCUGCCAGAAGUAGUUAGCCUAACCGCAAGGAGGGCGAUUACCACGGCAGGGUUCGUGACUGGGGUGAAGUCGUAACAAGGUAGCCGUAUCGGAAGGUGCGGCUGGAUCACCUCCUUU